rnacentral:rRNA from 1 species
UACGGGGGGGGUAAGCGUUGUUCGGAAUUACUGGGCGUAAAGGCUCGUAGGCGGCCAACUAAGUCAGACGUGAAAUCCCUCGGCUUAACCGGGGAACUGCGUCUGAUACUGGAUGGCUAGAGUUUGGGAGAGGGAUGCGGAAUUCCAGGUGUAGCGGUGAAAUGCGUAGAUAUCUGGAGGAACACCGGUGGCGAAGGCGGCAUCCUGGACCAACACGUGACGCUGAGGAGCGAAAGCCAGGGGAGCAAACGGG